AUGGCGUUCUACCGCGGCAGCAGCAGCACCGGCGGCGGCGACGAUGACGACGACAUCCCCGGUGCAUGGCCGACGAGCAUCGGAGUGCCGGAGACGGAGGAGCUCCAUCGCUACUGCCUCCCUGUGCCGCCGGGCUGUCGUCUUCCACGCAACUGGAAGAUCGACGCGGACGGCUUCGCGACGCCGGGUCCCUGCGCGACGGAGGAGGAGCUCCGCAACCAGAGCGGCGGCCGGCACAACAUCGAAGGCCGCAAGCACUUUUGGCGCGGGAAAGACUAUUGGGAGGUCAUGGCCGCCUUCCGCCUUGCGGCGGUCGGCGUGACCCCCGACCUGACGGGCCGCAGCGGCCGUCUUCGCGCACCGCCUCCACCGCACGAUCGCCGUAGACGUGGCGGCGGCCACGGUGCACACCCGGCAGCGGCGCCCGCGCCGGCCGCCCCUCCCUCGCCGCCGGAGAUCAAGUUGCCGCCGGAGCAGGUCAUCCUCCGCGAGGACGGCGAUCCGGAUGACACCCCGGGGUACCACGUGGCCGUACGGGCGUCAGAGGCUUCGGCGGCGGCGGCGGCGGCGAUGGAGGCCGCCGAGAUUGCGGCCGCAAUCGACGCGGCCGAGGCGAUGGCGGCGCAGCAGGCGGCGAUGGCGCUGCCGGAGUGGCAGCAGGUGCCGCCGGAGUGGCAGUAG
rnacentral:rRNA from 1 species